AGUGUAUAUUCGAAUUAUUGCGCUGAACGAGAAGCUGUUACCCGAAAACUAUAAAGUUCGAGUUCAGAUAAAGAAUCCUCAAAAUAUUAUUGUUCAAGAAACCCUUCUCACAGACCCAUGGAAGCAAUCCUCUGGCCAAUUUCCUAAAAUUAAUUUUACUCUUUCUUCAUUUCCCAUAUUAGGAGAAUGGAAAAUAGAGGCCUCAUACAGAAGUCAGAAAAAAACGUCUGUGUCAUUUAAUGUAGAAGAAUACAGUAAGAGAAAUUAAUAGUUAGAUUAUACAAAAUGACUCAAAAGUUAGUUUACCUUAUAGAAAUACUACCUUACAAACCAACCAUUUAUGAGCGAAUAAAAUUA